CCAAUUCUCUCUGCAACUUCACUCAAACCCUAGCCGCCGCCACCCAAAUUCACCAUAAUUUCCUUCAACCCCCACCCCAAUCCAUGGACUCCCAUCGUUGUUUAAGAUAUGUGCUUGUCUCCUACGUCCACUAAUGGCCCGUUUGUGUGAUUUCAUGGACAGACCUCGAACAGAUCUGGUGCAUUCCUUGCUCAACUCCUAUCCAUCAUUGUUUGAGUCAGAUCCUUGACUUUUCAGGCUAAAUUAGUAACUUUUCGAAGCCCUAACUUCAAAGACUUUCAAAUGUUUUCUUUCAGAUCUGUCUUAGAUCUUUGUAUGUGAUGAAACUCUCAAGUGUUUUCCUUAAAGGGUUUUCGAUUUUUUCGAAAUCUUCAACGAUUAGGGUUUCUCAACCUCUUUUAAAUGAUCUCUUCUCCGAUUUUCAAUUUUGUUUUAUGAUUUUGCUAUGUUUAGACGAUAUGUUCAUGUUUUUCUUCUACCUGGUUCAUCGUGUUAAAGCCCUAGGUAUUUUUUAGUUUUAUCCGGGAUCUGAGUUGUCUUUGUUUGUUUGUAUGUAUACUUGUUUCGAUCAAGUUCUUUGUGUUUGGGUCCUUUUCUUUGUUGACAGAUUAAGAGUUCUUACCAUUUUUAACUCGACUAUUAUUAAAACCCUAAUUUCUUAAAAGGUUUUCCUCACUCAUUACUGUGAGUUUAAAGGGGUUUUUACUUGUUUAUGACCUUCUUACCUGUUAGUUUGGGUUUUUACUCUGGUUCUAUGUGAUUACUUGAAUUUGUUGACUACCAUGCUUCGAGUAGGUUCUUUUACUACUGAGUCCUAGCCUACUCUUGCUACUAUGGUAUUUUUGUAUUUUUUCUUUCAUCAAUAUGGUUGGCCUUGCAUGCUGAUACUCUUGUUCAUUCUUCUCUAUUUAUAUGGAAAAAUGUAGAAUCAUGAUUCGUUAUUGAUUGAUCUUUAUUUACUCAAGUUAGGACUGAUUCCAAUGGUUUUCUUAUAAACCCCUAAUUCUACCCGUUUGUUUGAGUUGAUUGAUUCCUUUCCUUUAUUUGAUGUGAUGUUGUACCCCCAUUAAAUCCUUUCCCCAAUUAAGUAUAUUUUGUACUUAGACUCAAUUAUUUACUCUUUACUUUCGAUAUCCCCU
rnacentral:lncRNA from 1 species